rnacentral:tRNA from 1 species
AGUAAGAUGCCUGAAAAAGGAAUAUUCUGAUAGAAUAAAUCAUGGUUAUCCUCUUACUU